GCCGCGAGGGAGCCAAUGGGAUGGUGAGCUGGCCGGACUGGGCGGAGGCGACGGGGGACACCGGUGAUGACGUGAGCCACAAUGCGCGACGGCUGCGGAAGCUGAGCCGGACCCGGGAGUUAGCUUGAGCUGCGAAGCGUUCGGUUAGCAUGCCACCGUGACAAGUGAGCAGCCUGGACCGUCCUGGUGAUGUCACAUGACUGGGGGUCCCAAACCACCGAGGGGGCAUCUCGACGGCCAGAGUCACACAGCUGGACUCAAACACACAGGAGGACGUCUGGCACCCCGCUUCCUGGGACCCCUUUCUCUGGCCAGUUGGCGAAUCUUGGGGACAGGAGGGGCAGCAGCAGCAGCCGCCACCUGCCCCGAAGGUCAUCGUGAUGAGAGGCAAAGGAAGCCCCGGCACUUUUGACCCCAGAUGCCUGCCCCACUCCUGAGUGACUUGUGACCAGAUGCUGAGUUGUGAAGGCAGAGAUGGGACUUCAGCCAGCCCCCCCAGCAGUGGGAGAUGUCCCCACGGGCCCUGAGAGUCCCUCACACCAGUGAGCACCUCACCAGGCUCCUCAGGGACCCUCCCAGGAACUGUCCUUCUGACCCUUCCUCCCGCCCCUCCUCCCUCCGUUGCGCACACUCCAGCUCCUGCAGUCACGCCCUUGUUCCGAACACUUGGGGGCUCUACGUCCCUGCUGAAGCCCUGACCCAGGCACAGAGGUCGUCAUGCUGAGGGAGGGGCCACAGCCCCACUCCAGACACAGGCACGCCUUUCACAAGGGCCUGCACUGACACGAGCCCCAAAACCGGGAGAGUAGACAAAUCCACCAUGAGAACUCGCCCUCCGGGGCCAGGCAGCACACAACCAGCCCUACAAAGGGAAGAAGGGCCCCGACACCCACACAGGUCUGCACCUUCCAGCAAGUGCCGUUGACGGCACCCCAACCCAACGUGCAGCUUCCCAAAGGGCGCGGGGCUUAGGUGGAUCUCCCGAGGCCAUCCUGGAAAGCAUUCGGCCAGGUCCGAGCUCCUAACGGAACUGUCAGUUACGCCCUGAGGGACUCCGUUCUCCCUGGUCCCCGGUGUGGUACGAGAGCACAGCCUUUCACACCAGACAAACCUGGGUGAAGUCCCGUUUUACCACCUUCGGCUGCAGCAGGAUCCCUGGGGAGGGACUUCACCUGUCUCAGCCUCAGUUUCUUCAUCUUUAAAACGGGCUCGACCCAGCA